rnacentral:lncRNA from 1 species
AUUUGCCUCACUGCAAUAUUAUUCUCAUAUAUUACAUGGUUUUUUUACAGAGGGUUUACCAAAAGAGAUUCUUAUUCAUACCAAGUCCAGACCUCGCCGCGUGUCGCCGUCGCCGUAUUUUUCUUGCUGUUCACACUUGCCGUUUGGGGUCUGUACUUUUUGGGGCGACUAAUCAAUAUUAAAAUGCAAGGCAUCCUGAAGUCUGAGUUUAUCAAGAGAUUCCUACCAGGCGGUCCAACAAUCAACGUCAAGAAAAAUAAAUGACCACAUAAAAAAUUUCAACUCAUUUCAAUUUCAUGAUACAUCAUAAACUUAUCCCUCUAGAAAUCUACAUAACGUGUCAAUCUGGUUAUGUGGAUCGGAGAGUCUUUUACUAGCAAAUUUUACUCAUAUUAAGCGUUACUGAGCUUUUUACUUUCAUCACCGCUGCUGAAAUUUAGUUCGCCUUCAAUAUAAUGUAAUCUAAUAAUCUAAAAUACCAUUAGAAAUGUCAGUCUCUUAGAAUGUGAGAAAUUCAUUUAAUGAAGUAAAAAUUUCACUUUACCUCAUUAAAUUUUAUUCAUUCAUCUUUAGAGAUUUACCCACCUUUAAUAACAUUAUGGCCAUCACCGACGAUCAAAAACUAAAUUCAACCGCAAAAAAAAAACGUGAAAAUAACUCAGUUUGGCUGACAUUUUCUCAACAUUAUACCAUUGUUUGAAAAUUGUAACACAAUUUUUUUAUAUAUAAAGUUAAAAGUUCGUGAAAGUCCGCAUAGGGAACCAUUGUGCAUCCGCGCAGUCUGUUCAUAAACAUUUCCCGUUUAUGCCAGUGGCAUAUCUUCUGUUGGCAACUAAUAGGAAUUUGUUCAUUUUCUUCAGUGGAUACGUUUGAGUUCGUCGUGUGUUUGAAGUUUUGAUCCUCAGAUAUUUUGGUACUGGAUCGUGUAUUAAAAUUCAGUUCGGGCUAAACUGCUAGGAUGUAAUAUAAUAGUCCGGCAUUACUGUAUAUAAUAAAACAUAAUAUAGUGUUGUCUUGCGUAUAGUGGCAGGUUCUGGUGCCAGGUGGUAAAAACAACAAUCAUUAAAAUACUUUAUUGCACAUCAAUCAUCAUUACAGACUUUCUGGAUAAACUGGGAUACGUAGCACAUGUUCACGUGGCACAGAGGUAAUUAACAGUCUUCGUUCAAACAGCUACAUUCCACAACACGUGACGAUGUCUUCAACUUCAAGUCCACGCUCUCACUGCUCGUUCCUAAUCCGCAAUCUCUAUUCU